GGUCCCCUUCCACACAGUGGAAGCUUUGUUCUUUUGCUCUUUGCAAUGAAUCUUACUGCUGCUCACUCUUUGGGUUCCCACUGCCUUUAUGAGCUGUAAGACUCACUGCAAAGGUCUGCAGCUUCACUCCUGAAACCAGUGAGACCACGAACCCACUGGGAGAAACGAACAACUCCAGACGCGCUGCCUUAAGAGCUGUUAACACUCACUGCGAAGGUCUGCAGCUUCACUUCUGAGCCACCAAGACCACGAACCCCCCAGAAGGAAGAAAUGCUGAACACAUCCGAACAUCAGAAGGAACGAACUCCAGACACGCUGCUUCCAAGAACUGUAACACUCACCGCGAGGGUCCGUGGCUUCAUUCUUGAAGUCAGUGAGACCAAGAACGCACCAAUUCCGGACACACUAUUGCAGUACUCCACGUAGGAGAUGAUAAUGGCUUAGUAUUGAUAAUGACAGGAUGAAGUAUUUGUACUCGGAAAUAUUUUGAAGGUCAGGCUGAUAGGAUUCGCAGACUGAUUGAUGAGGAGUGUGAGAAAAAGAGAAGAAUCAAGAAUGAUGCCAAGAUUUUUAUCCUGAGCUGCAGAAGAAAGGCCUUUGGAAAAAACACUGAGAAAGCAUUUCAGGUAUCUGCCAUGGAAAAUACCAUCAAGUGGGACACCCGCAGCGAUCUCUGUACCCACAAAAGUCACACUUGCUAUCCUUGGUGAAUUUUCCUUAAAAACUGUGGAUGAACUUCCAG
rnacentral:lncRNA from 1 species